rnacentral:rRNA from 1 species
GACGAACGCUGGCGGCGUGCCUAAUACAUGCAAGUCGGACGCAGUUGCGAACGGGUGAGUAACGCGUAGGUAACUACCUAUUAGAGGGGGAUAACUAUUGGAAACGAUAGCUAAUACCGCAUACUAGUAGAUGUACCUGCGUUGUAUUAGGUAGUAGGUAGGGUAAUGGCCUACCUAGGCAACGGUACAGAGCCGAGCUGGAAGGGGUAACGGGCACAACUGGAAUUAGACACGGGCCAGACGCCUAAGGUAGGCAGGAGGAGGGAAAUUUUGGCAAUGGGGGGAACGCUGACCGAGCAAAGGCGCGGGAGUGAAGAAGGUUUUCGGAGCGGAAAGCUCUGUUGAGAAGGAAGCGGUACUUAACCAGAAAGGGACGGCUAACUACGUGCCAGCAGCCGCGGUAAUUC